AGAGUUUGAUCCUGGCUCAGGACGAACGCUGGCGGCGUGCUUAACACAUGCAAGUCGAGCGGUAAGGCCCUUCGGGGUACACGAGCGGCGAACGGGUGAGUAACACGUGGGUGACCUGCCCCCUACUCUGGGAUAAGCCUGGGAAACUGGGUCUAAUACCGGAUAUGACUACAUGUCGCAUGGUGUGUGGUGGAAAGUUUUUCGGUGGGGGAUGGGCCCGCGGCCUAUCAGCUUGUUGGUGGGGUGAUGGCCUACCAAGGCGACGACGGGUAGCCGGCCUGAGAGGGCGACCGGCCACACUGGGACUGAGGCACGGCCCAGACUCCUACGGGAGGCAGCAGUGGGGAAUAUUGCGCAAUGGGCGGAAGCCUGACGCAGCGACGCCGCGUGGGGGAUGACGGCCUUCGGGUUGUAAACCUCUUUCGGCCCCGACGAAGCGUGAGUGACGGUAGGGGUAGAAGAAGCACCGGCCAACUACGUGCCAGCAGCCGCGGUAAUACGUAGGGUGCGAGCGUUGUCCGGAAUUAUUGGGCGUAAAGAGCUCGUAGGCGGUCUGUCGCGUCGGUCGUGAAAACUUGGGGCUUAACCCUGAGCUUGCGGUCGAUACGGGCAUGACUGGAGUUCGGCAGGGGAGACUGGAAUUCCUGGUGUAGCGGUGAAAUGCGCAGAUAUCAGGAGGAACACCGGUGGCGAAGGCGGGUCUCUGGGCCGAUACUGACGCUGAGGAGCGAAAGCGUGGGGAGCGAACAGGAUUAGAUACCCUAGUAGUCC
rnacentral:rRNA from 1 species